UAGGAAAUAAUACAGUGGAAGUAUGAAGGUCUUUGAUUCCUUUUGCGUGGGUUCGAGCCCCACUUUUCUAA
rnacentral:tRNA from 1 species